GGCUCCUUGUGACAAGAAAAAUAGGGAGUCGGACCUGCCCAGUGAAAUUUUUUAACGGCCGCGGUACUCUGACCGUGCAAAGGUAGCAUAAUAAUUUGCCUUAUAAUUGAAGGCUAGUAUGAAUGGUUUGACAAGAAUAUUACUGUCUCUUUAUAGUUUGUUAGAAUUUUAUUUUAAGGUGAAGAAGCCUUAAUAUAAUUGAUAGACAAGAAGACCCUAUCGAGCUUUAAAAAAUUUAGAAGAUUAAUUUUAAUAAUGUUAAUAAAACAAACUUUUAAAAAUUUUGGUUGGGGCGACUGAGGAACAAUAAAAGCUUCCUUUAAUAUUUUUUUAGCUUGCAGGUUUUGAUCCAAAAAUUUUGAUUAAAGAAAUUAGUUACCGUAGGGAUAACAGCAUUAUCUUUUUUGAGAGCUCUUAUCGAAAAAAAGGUUUGUGACCUCGAUGUUGGACCAGAAUAUCCUAAAGGUGCAGAAGCCUUUAAGGGUUGGUCUGUUCGACCAUUAAAAUUCU
rnacentral:rRNA from 1 species